UAGGGAAUCUUCCGCAAUGGACGCAAGUCUGACGGAGCAACGCCGCGUGAGUGAAGAAGGAUUUCGGUUCGGAAAACUCUGUUGUUAGAGAAGAACAGCGCAUAGAGUAACUGUUAUGCGUGUGACGGUAUCUAACCAGAAAGCCACGGCUAACUACGUGCCAGCAGCCGCGGUAAUACGUAGGUGGCAAGCGUUGUCCGGAAUUAUUGGGCGUAAAGCGAGCGCAGGCGGUCAAUUAAGUCUGAUGUGAAAGCCCCCGGCUCAACCGGGGAGGGUCAUUGGAAACUGGUUGACUUGAGUGCAGAAGAGGAGUGUGGAAUUCCAUGUGUAGCGGUGAAAUGCGUAGAUAUAUGGAGGAACCCCAGUGGCGAUGGCGACUCUCUAGUCUGUAACUGACACUGCGGUUCGAAAGCGUGGGUAGCAAACAGG
rnacentral:rRNA from 1 species